GAUGAACGCUAGCUACAGGCUUAACACAUGCAAGUCGCGGGGCAGCAUGGGGGUUGCUUGCAAUCCCCGAUGGCGACCGGCGCACGGGUGAGUAACGCGUAUCCAACCUGCCCUUCACCACGGGAUAACCCGGCGAAAGUCGGACUAAUACCGUAUGUUGUCCAUUGACGGCAUCCGAUUUGGACGAAAGGUUUGGCGGUGAAGGAUGGGGAUGCGUCCGAUUAGCUGGACGGCGGGGUGACGGCCCACCGUGGCGACGAUCGGUAGGGGUUCUGAGAGGAAGGGCCCCCACACUGGAACUGGGACACGGUCCAGACUCCUACGGGAGGCAGCAGUGAGGAAUAUUGGUCAAUGGGCGUAAGCCUGAACCAGCCAAGUAGCGUGCAGGAUGACGGCCCUAUGGGUUGUAAACUGCUUUUAUGCGGGGAUAAAGUGGCCCACGUGUGGGUUUUUGCAGGUACCGCAUGAAUAAGGACCGGCUAAUUCCGUG
rnacentral:rRNA from 1 species